ACAGCAAUAUCAUGUUGAAACACCGGUUCUUGUACGAUCACCGAAGUUAAGCAACGUCGAGCUUGGUGCGUAUCUAGACGAGUGUCCAUUUGGGAACACCUGGUGUUGCAAG